rnacentral:rRNA from 1 species
GUGCCAGCAGCCGCGGUAAUACAGAGGUGGCAAGCGUUGUUCGGAAUUACUGGGCGUAAAGGGCGCGUAGGCGGCCUACUAAGUCAGACGUGAAAUCCCCCGGCUUAACCUGGGAACUGCGUCUGAUACUGGAAGGCUUGAGUAUGGGAGAGGGAUGUAGAAUUCCAGGUGUAGCGGUGAAAUGCGUAGAUAUCUGGAGGAAUACCGGUGGCGAAGGCGGCAUCCUGGACCAUUACUGACGCUGAGGCGCGAAAGCUAGGGGAGCAAACGGGAUUAGAUACCCGCGUAGUCC